GGGACCUACCUGAACGUGGGGGAUAACGUAGGGAAACUUACGCUAAUCCCGCAUACGUCCUACGGGAGAAAGCGGGGGAUCUUCGGACCUCGCGCGGUCAGACGGACCGAUGUUCGAUUAGCUAGUUGGUAGGGUAAUGGCCUACCAAGGCGACGAUCGAUAGCUGGUCUGAAAGGAUGAUCAGCCACACUGGAACUGAAACACGGUCCAGACUCCUACGGGAGGUAGCAGUGGGGAAUAUUGCACAAUGGGCGCAA
rnacentral:rRNA from 1 species